UCGGCGACCGGCGGACGGGUGCGUAACGCGUAUGUAACCUACCUUUGACAGGGGGAUAACAUCGAGAAAUUGGUACUAAUACCCCAUAACAUCACCGGAGGCAUCUUCGGUGGUUGAAAACUCAGGUGGUCAGAGAUGGACAUGCGUUGUAUUAGCUAGUUGGUGAGGUAACGGCUCACCAAGGCGACGAUACAUAGGGGGACUGAGAGGUCAACCCCCCACAUUGGUACUGAGACACGGACCAAACUCCUACGGAAGGCAGCAG
rnacentral:rRNA from 1 species